rnacentral:rRNA from 1 species
AGCUGAGUUCAAAGAUCCCUUCGGGGUGAUUUGUUGGACGCUAGCGGCGGAUGGGUGAGUAACACGUGGGCAAUCUGGCCCUAAAGACUGGGGAAUACCACUUGGAAACAGGUGCUAAUACCGGAUAACAACAUGAAUCGCAUGAUUCAAGUUUGAAAGGCGGCGUAAGCUGUCACUUUAGGAUGAGCCCGCGGCGCAUUAGCUAGUUGGUGGGGUAAAGGCCUACCAAGAAGUGGGAUGCGUAGCCGAGUUGAGAGACUGAUCGGCCACAUUGGGACUGAGACACGG